rnacentral:rRNA from 1 species
AACGUAGGAGGCAAGCGUUAUCCGGAGUUACUGGGCGUAAAGCGCAUGUAGGCGGUUGGGCAAGUGGCGUGUGAAAGCUCCCGGCUAAACUGGGAGACGACAGGUCAGACUGCCGGACUGGAGUCCGAUAGAGGAGCGUAGAAUUCCGGGUGUAGCGGUGAAAUGUGUAGAGAUCCGGAGGAAUACCAGUGGCGCGAAGCGGCGCUCUGGGUCGGGACUGACGCUGAGAUGCGAAAGCGUGGGGAGCGAACGGG